UACGAAGGGUGCAAGCGUUAAUCGGAAUUACUGGGCGUAAAGCGUGCGUAGGCGGUUCGUUAAGUCUGUCGUGAAAGCCCUGGGCUCAACCUGGGAAUGGCGAUGGAUACUGGCGAGCUAGAGUGUGAUAGAGGAUGGCGGAAUUCCCGGUGUAGCGGUGAAAUGCGUAGAGAUCGGGAGGAACACCAGUGGCGAAGGCGGCUACCUGGACCAGCACUGACACUGAGGCACGAAAGCGUGGGGAGCAAACAGG
rnacentral:rRNA from 1 species